rnacentral:rRNA from 1 species
AUGUAUUGUGGUAAAAUCCGUGAUGCUACCAUUGUGCUUGAGGCCGUAGCAUCGGAGGACACAUGGAUUUGGCAUGCAUUCUUUGGGUUGCCGGGAACACUCAAUGAUAUCAAUGUCCUCAAUAGAUCUCCUUUGUUCAAAAUAUUAAUUUCUGGGGAUGCUCCAGCUUGCAACUACAAAAUCAUGGACAAUGAGUACUCAAUGGGAUACUAUCUCACCGAUGGCAUCUAUCCCGAAUGGGCAACUCUUGUGAAGUCCAUCACGGAGAAAAAUGGGGUGCCCUUAACAAGAAAAGAGGCUCAUUUCACCAAGGCACAAGAGGCAGCCCGCAAGGAUAUU